GCGGCUGUGGCGGAACAGGCAGACGCGCUAUCUUGAGGGGGUAGUGGAGGUAACUCCGUGUGAGUUCAAGUCUCACCAGCCGCA
rfam:Clostridiales bacterium S5-A11 contig007, whole genome shotgun sequence.